rnacentral:snRNA from 1 species
UGCUCACUUCAAUAUACUAAAAUUGGAAUACAAAAAUUGGCAUGGCCCCUGUAUAAGGAUGACCUGCACAUUUGUGAAGUGUUCCAUUAAAAA